GACAGUACGGUGUUAGAUCAGUGGGUAUCGCUUGAGGCAGGUUAUCCAUGACAGUAUGGUGUUAGAUCAGUGGGUAUCGCUUGAGGCAGGUUAUCCAUGACAGUAUGGUAUUAGAUGAGUGGGUAUCGCUUGAGGGAGGUUAUCCAUGACAGUAUGGUAUUAGAUGAGUGGGUAUCGCUUGAGGCAGGUUAUCCAUUACAGUAUGGUAUUAGAUGAGUGGGUAUCGCUUGAGGGAGGAUAUCCAUGACAGUAUGGUGUUAGAUCAGUGGGUAU